rnacentral:rRNA from 1 species
UAUGUCUGGGAGUGGCACACUGCUCAGUAACACGUAGCUAACCUACCCUUAGGACGUGGAUACCCCCGAGAAAUUGGGGUUAAUCCGCGAUAGAUGUAAUGUCCUGGAAUGGUAUUACGUCUAAAGGUAUUUCAUACAUGUUUGAAAUAUGCUAAGGAUGGGGCUGCGGCCGAUCAGGCUGUUGGUGAGGUAAUGGCUCACCAAACCUUUGACCGGUACGGGCCAUGAGAGUGGUAGCCCGGAGAUGGACACUGAGACAAGGGUCCAGGCCCUAAGGGGCGCAGCAACCGCGAAACCUCCAUAAUGCACUCACGUGCGAUGGGGCUAUCUCGAGUGCCACCUGAUGAAGGUGGCUUUUCCUUGGUCUUCAAAGCCUUGGGAAUAAGAGGGGGGCAAGACUGGUGUCAGCCGCCGCGGUAACACCAGCCCCUCGAGUGGUGGGGAUGAUUAUUUGGCCUAAAGCGUCCGUAGCCGGCCGUGAAAGUCUUCCGUUAAAUCCAGCGUCUCAAGCGUUGGACCGCGGGAGAUACUACAUGGCUAGAGAGUGGGAGAGGUCAGCGGUAUUCUGGGGGUAGGGGCGAAAUCCUUUGAUCCCCGGAGGACCACCAGUGGCGAAGGCUGCUGACUAGAACACGUCUGACGGUCAGGGACGAAAGCUGGGGUAGCGAACCGGAUUAGAUACCCGGGUAGUCCCAGCCGUAAACGAUGCAUGCUAGGUGUUGGGUUGGCCACGAGCCACCCCAGUGCCGCAGGGAAGCCGUUAAGCAUGCCGCCUGGGAAGUACGAUCGCAAGAUUGAAACUUAAAGGAAUUGGCGGGGGAGCACCACCAGGCGUGAAGCCUGCGGUUUAAUUGGAUUCAACGCCGGA